CAGUCGCCACGGUAAUACGGAGGGUGCAAGCGUUAAUCGGAAUUACUGGGCGUAAAGCGUGCGUAGGCGGUUCGUUAAGUCUGUUGUGAAAGCCCCGGGCUCAACCUGGGAGUGGCAAUGGAUACUGGCGAGCUAGAGUGUGUCAGAGGAUGGUGGAAUUCCCGGUGUAGCGGUGAAAUGCGUAGAGAUCGGGAGGAACAUCAGUGGCGAAGGCGGCCAUCUGGGACAACACUGACGCUGAGGCACGAAAGCUAGGGGAGCAAACAGGAUUAGAUACCCCGGUAGUCCCUGUCUCUUUACA
rnacentral:rRNA from 1 species